rnacentral:tRNA from 1 species
GGCUCUUUAGCUCAGUUGGUAGAGCAGUGCCCUGAAAAGGCAUGUGUCCGCAGUUCAAUUCUGCGAGGAGCCA